AAGCUGGAUUCGCUAGUAAUCGCGCAUCAGCCACGGCGCGGUGAAUACGUUCCCGGGCCUUGUACACACCGCCCGUCAAGCCAUGAAAGCCGGGGGUACCUGAAGUGCGUAACCGCGAGGAGCGCCCUAGGGUAAAACUGGUGAUUGGGGCUAAGUCGUAACAAGGUAAC
rnacentral:rRNA from 1 species